UACGGAAGGCAGCAGUGGGGAAUAUUGCACAAUGGGCGAAAGCCUGAUGCAGCUAUGCCGCGUGUAUGAAGAAGGCCUUAGGGUUGUAAAGUACUUUCAUCGGGGAGGAAAAAACAAAACUAAUAAUUUUAUUUCUUGACGUUACCCGAAAAAGAAGCACCGGCUAACUCCGUGCCAGCAUCCGCGGUAAUACGGAGGGUGCUAGCGUUAAUCAGAAUUACUGGGCGUAAAGAGCACGUAGGUGGUUUUUUUAAAGUCAGAUGUGAAAUCCCUGGGCUUUAACCUAGGAACUGCAUUUUGAAACUGAAAUACUAGAGUAUCGUAGAGGGAGGUAGAAUUCUAGGUGUAGCGGUGAAAUGCGUAGAUAUCUGGAGGAAUACCUGUGGCGAAAGCGGCCUCCUAAACGAAUACUGACACUGAGGGUGCGAAAGCGUGGGGAGCAAACAGGGAUUUAGAUACCCGU
rnacentral:rRNA from 1 species